GUAUAGACCCGAAACCAGGCGAUCUAUCCAUGAGCAGGUUGAAGGUUGGGUAACACUAACUGGAGGACCGAACCCACUGUCGUUGAAAAGCCAGGGGAUGACUUGUGGAUAGGGGUGAAAGGCUAAUCAAGCCUGGUGAUAGCUGGUUCUCCCCGAAAGCUAUUUAGGUAGCGCCUCGGACGAAUACCAUAGGGGGUAGAGCACUGUUUCGGCUAGGGGGUCAUCCCGACUUACCAAACCGAUGCAAACUCCGAAUACCUAUGAGUACUAUCCGGGAGACAGACUGCGGGUGCUAACGUCCGUAGUCAAGAGGAAAACAAUCCAGACCGCCAGCUAAGGCCCCAAAAUCAUAGUUAAGUGGGAAACGAUGUGGGAAGGCAUAGACAGCUAGGAGGUUGGCUUAGAAGCAGCCACCCUUUAAAGAAAGCGUAAUAGCUCACUAGUCGAGUCGGCCUGCGCGGAAGAUGUAACGGGGCUAAAACUAUGUGCCGAAGCUGCGGAUGUAUACUUUGUAUACGUGGUAGGGGAGCGUUCUGUAAGCCGAUGAAGGUGUGUUGAGAAGCAUGCUGGAGGUAUCAGAAGUGCGAAUGCUGACGUGAGUAACGACAAAACGGGUGAAAAACCCGUUCGCCGAAAGACCAAGGGUUCCAGUCCAACGUUAAUCGGGGCUGGGUGAGUCGACCCCUAAGGCGAGGCCGAAAGGCGUAGUCGAUGGGAAAAUGGUUAAUAUUCCAUUACUUCUGUGUAAUGCGAUGAGAGGACGGAGAAGGCUAAAUCAGCCUGGCGUUGGUUGUCCAGGUGAAAGGAUGUAGGCAUGUAUCUUAGGCAAAUCCGGGGUACUCUAUGCUGAGAUCUGAUAGCAAGCUGUACUUGUACAGCGAAGUGGUUGAUGCCAUGCUUCCAGGAAAAGUCUCUAAGCUUCAGUUACACAGGAAUCGUACCCGAAACCGACACAGGUGGUCAGGUCGAGUAGACCAAGGCGCUUGAGAGAACUCUGCUGAAGGAACUAGGCAAAAUGGUACCGUAACUUCGGGAGAAGGUACGCUGUUGUUGGUGAUGGAACUCGCUUCCUGAGCUGACGACAGCCGCAGAAACCAGGCCGCUGCAACUGUUUAUUAAAAACAUAGCACUCUGCAAACACGAAAGUGGACGUAUAGGGUGUGAUGCCUGCCCGGUGCUGGAAGGUUAAUUGAUGGGGUUAGCGUAAGCGAAGCUCUUGAUCGAAGCCCCAGUAAACGGCGGCCGUAACUAUAACGGUCCUAAGGUAGCGAAAUUCCUUGUCGGGUAAGUUCCGACCUGCACGAAUGGCAUAAUGAUGGCGGCGCUGUCUCCAGCAGAGGCUCAGUGAAAUCGAAAUCGCUGUGAAGAUGCAGUGUACCCGCGGCUAGACGGAAAGACCCCGUGAACCUUUACUGCAGCUUGACACUGAACUUUGACCUUACUUGUGUAGGAUAGGUGGGAGGCUUUGAAGCUGGAACGCUAGUUCCAGUGGAGCCGUCCUUGAAAUACCACCCUGGUAAUGUUGAGGUUCUAACUCUGUCCCGUGAUCCGGGACGAGGACCGUGUCUGGUGGGUAGUUUGACUGGGGCGGUCUCCUCCUAAAGAGUAACGGAGGAGUACGAAGGUGCGCUCAGCGUGGUCGGAAAUCACGCGUAGAGUAUAAAGGCAAAAGCGCGCUUAACUGCGAGACCCACAAGUCGAGCAGGUACGAAAGUAGGUCUUAGUGAUCCGGUGGUUCUGUAUGGAAGGGCCAUCGCUCAACGGAUAAAAGGUACUCUGGGGAUAACAGGCUGAUACCGCCCAAGAGUUCAUAUCGACGGCGGUGUUUGGCACCUCGAUGUCGGCUCAUCUCAUCCUGGGGCUGAAGCAGGUCCCAAGGGUAUGGCUGUUCGCCAUUUAAAGAGGUACGCGAGCUGGGUUUAGAACGUCGUGAGACAGUUCGGUCCCUAUCUACCGUGGGCGCUGGAAAUUUGAGAGGAUCUGCUCCUAGUACGAGAGGACCAGAGUGGACGAACCUCUGGUGUACCGGUUGUGACGCCAGUCGCAUCGCCGGGUAGCUAUGUUCGGAAGGGAUAACCGCUGAAAGCAUCUAAGCGGGAAGCCUACCUCAAGAUAAGAUUUCCCUAGGACUUUAUGUCCUCUAAAGAGCCGUUCGAGACUAGGACGUUGAUAGGUUGGAUGUGGAAGCAUAGUGAUAUGUGAAGCUGACCAAUACUAAUUGCUCGUGAGGCUUGACUAU
rnacentral:rRNA from 1 species